UGAGAAUGUGUCUUCCCCUCCUACCUCAAU
rnacentral:piRNA from 1 species